rnacentral:rRNA from 1 species
GACGAACGCUGGCGGCGUGCCUAACACAUGCAAGUCGAGCGAUGAAGUUUCCUUCGGGAAACGGAUUAGCGGCGGACGGGUGAGUAACACGUGGGUAACCUGCCUCAUAGAGGGGAAUAGCCUCCCGAAAGGGAGAUUAAUACCGCAUAAUAUUACAGUUUCGCAUGAAACAGUAAUUAAAGGAGCAAUCCGCUAUGAGAUGGACCCGCGGCGCAUUAGCUAGUUGGUGAGGUAACGGCUCACCAAGGCGACGAUGCGUAGCCGACCUGAGAGGGUGAUCGGCCACAUUGGGACUGAGACACGGCCCAGACUCCUACGGGAGGCAGCAGUGGGGAAUAUUGCACAAUGGGGGAAACCCUGAUGCAGCUACGCCGCGUGAGUGAUGACGGUCUUCGGAUUGUAAAGCUCUGUCUUUGGGGACGAUAAUGACGGUACCCAAGGAGGAAGCCACGGCUAACUACGUGCCAGCCGCCGCGGUAAUAC